rnacentral:lncRNA from 1 species
UUUUUUUUUUUUUUUGUCUUUUCUAGGACCACAUCCACGGCCUAUGGAGGUUCCCAGGCCAAGCCAGGAGAUCAAUCAGAGCUGUAGCCACCAGCCUACGCCACAGCCACAGCAACUCGGGAUCCAAGCCACAUCUGUGACCUACACCACAGCUCAUGGCAACGCUGGAUCCUUAACCUACUGAGCAAGGCCAGGGAUCGAACCUGCAACCUCAUGGUUCCCAGUCAGGUUGUUUAACCACUGAGCCACGACAGACACUCCUGCUUGCCACUUUUGUGUGUAAGAACAUUUUAGUUCUACUCUUAGUGAAUUUCAACUAUAAAAAACAGUGUUAUCUACUACGGUAACCAUUCAAUACAGAGGUCCUUGACUUAAAAUGGUUGACAUGAUAUUUUGGCUUUAUAACAGUGUGAAAGUAAUAUGCAUUCAGUAGAAGCCAUAUUUUGAAUUUUGAAUUAUCUCUUUCCUGUCGAAUGAUCUUCCAUACAAUACUCUCAGGGUGCUGAGCAGUGGCAACUAGCCACAGCUUUCAGUAAGAUAUGAAAUCAUUAGGUAAAUAAUUAUUCUAUACCCAUACAACCAUUCUGUUUUUCACUUUCAAUAUGGUAGUCAAUAAAUUACAUGAGCUAUUUAAUACUUCACUAUAAAAUAGUCUUGGUUUAAAUAUUUUGUCCAACUGCCGGCUACUGCAAGUGUUCUGAAUACAUUUAAGUUAGGCUAGGCUAAAAUGUUUGGUAGGUUGGAUGUAUGAAGUAUAUUUUCAACAACGGUAUUUUUUACUUAUGAUAGGUUUAUUGAGACCUAACUCUGUAAGUCAAGGAAGUAAGUCUGUAUAUUAGAUCUUCAGAUCUUAUGCAUCCUCUAAGUGAAAAUUUGUGCUUUUUCACCAGUCAUUUCCUUUUCUGCCCACCCCUAGCAACCACUUUUAUACUCUCAGUUUCUAGGAAUUUUUUUUUUGACUCCACAUAUAAAUGGUACCAUGCAGUAUUUGUCUUCUUCUGUCUGGCUUAUUUUACUUAGCAUAAUCCUCUCCAGAUUCAUCCAUGUUGAUGCAAAUUACAGAAUUUUCUUCUUUUUUAUAUAUAAGGAAUAAGAUUCUACUAUAUACCAUUAUAUGUUAUAUGCCUCACAUUUUCUUGAUGCAUUUACCUUGACUUGACUGUUAUGGAUACUGCUGCAAUCAACAUGAAGUUCAGCUAUCUCUUGAGAUAAUUUCAUUUCCUUGGAAUUUGUAGCCAAAAGUACAAUUGCAGGUCUAUUUUUAAUUUCUUGAGAAAUCCCUGUACUGUUUUCGAUAGUGGCUGUACCAGGUCACAUUCCCAACAUUAUACAAGCAUUCCCUUGCCAGCUUGUUAUCUUGUCUUUGACAACAGCCAUUAUAACAAGUGUGAGGUGAUAUUUCAUUGUGGCCUUGUUGGUUUAGUUUUGAUUUGGUAACAAAAACUAUUUUAAUGGGGAUUUUGAAGAGACAGGGCUUUGAAAUAAGGAAUAUAAGUUAAGAAUGAGUAUGAAGUAUUGUAUUUAUUAAUUCGCUCUUGGGAUUAUCAUCUUCAUUAGGCAAGAUACAUUGUUUCUCCAAUUAUGUAAUUGACAUAUAGAAUUGCAUUAGUUUCAGAUAUAUAACAUAAUCAUUAGAUAUAGAUCUACAUUGUGAAAUGAUUAGCACAAUAAGUUUAAUGAAUAUCACUUCACGGUUAUAACUUUUGCGAUGAGAACUUUUAAUACCAACUCUGUUAGCAACUUAUUAUUAUAAGUAUUGCUUAGUAAUGAUGCUAUAUUAUAUAUUCCCAGAACUUCAUUAUUUUAUUUUAUAACUAAAAGUUUGUACCUUUUGAGAGCCUUCAGCCACUUCCUUUCUGUCACUCCCUGCCUCUGGCAACCACCAAUCUGUUCUCUGUUCCUAUGAGUUCAGUUAUAUCAGAUUCUACAUUUAAGUGGGAUCAUGCAGUAUUUGUCUUUCUCUGUCUGACUUACUUUGCUUAACAUAAUGCCCUCAAAUUCCUUUCAAUAUAGUAACAAAUGGCAGAAUUUUCUUUUCUACAACUGAAAAUUAUUCCAUUGUGUAUGUGUGUGUGUGCGUGUGUGUGUGUGUGUAUACGUUUCUUUAUCCAUUAACCCCUAGAUGGACAUGUUUUCUUUAACACAUUUUCUUUAUCCAUUAAUUCCUAGAUGAACAUUUAGGUUUUUUCCAUGUCCUGACUAACUCAAAUGAUGCUACAGUGAAUGUGGAGAUGGAGAUAUCUCUUUGAGUAGUGAUUUUAUAUCCUUUAGAUAUCUAUCCAGAAGUGAGGUUGCUGAAUAGUUCUAUUUUUAAUUUUUUAAAGGUCAAACAAUAUAAAUUUUAUGAAUUCAAAAGAGUUGUGGUGAUUUUUUAUUACUCAAUGAAUUUAUUACAAUUGUAUUUGUACAAUAAUCAUCACUAUCCAAUGUUAUAGGAUUUCCAUCCCCGACCCCAGUGCGUCCCCCCACCCCCCAAACUGUCUCCUUUGGAGACCGUAAGUUUUUCAAAGUCUGUGAGUCAGUGUCUGUUCCGCAAAGAAGCUCAUUCUAUCCUUUUUUCAGGUUCCACAUGUCAGUGAAAGCAUUUGAUGUUGGUGUCCUUUUGUGUCUCACUGACCUCACUUAGUACGAAGAUUUCUAGGUCCAUCCAUGUUGCUACAAAUGCUGGUAUUUCAUUCCUUUUAAUGGCUGCAUAAUAUUCCAUUGCGUAUAUGUACCACUUCUUCUUGACCCACUCCUCUGUCAACGGACAUUUAGGUUGUUUCCAUGUCUUUGCUAUUGUAAAUAGUGCUUCAAUGAACAUCGGAAUACAUGUGUCUUUUUGAGUCAUGGUUUUCUCUGGAUACAUGCCCAGGAGUGGGAUUGCUGGAUCAAAUGGUAGUUCUAUUUUUAGUUUUCUGAGGAAUCUCCAUACAGUUUUCCACAGUGGCUAGACCAAUUUACAUUCCCACCAACAGUGUGCUAGGGUUCCUUUUUCUCCACACCCUCUCCAGCACUUAUUGUUUGUAGACUUUUUGAUGAUGGCCAUUCUGGCUGGUGUAAGGUGGUACCUCAUAGUGAUUUUGAUUUGUAUUUCUCUAAUAAUGAGUGAUGUUGAACAUCUUUUCAUGUGUUUUUUGGCCAUGUGUAUAUCUUCCUUGGAGAAUUGUCUGUUUAGAUCUUCUGCCCAUUUUUUGAUGGGGCUGUUUUUUUUUGGUAUGGAGCUGCAGAAUGUGUUUGUAAAUUUUGGAGAUUAAUCCCUUAUCAGUCACUUCAUUUGCAAAGAUUUUCUCCUAUUCUGUGGGUUGUCUUUUAGUUUUGUUUAGGGUUUCCUUUGCUUUGCAGAAACUUUUAAGUUUGAUUAGGUCCCUUUUGUUUAUUUUUGUUUUGACUGUCAUUGCUCUAAGAGGUGGAUCUGAGAUGAGGUUGCUGUGGUUUAUGUCAGAGAGUGUUUGGCCUCUGUGUUCCUCUAAGAGUUUUGCAGUGUCUUGUCUUAUAUCUAGGUCUCUAAUCCAUUUUGAGUUUAUUUUUGUGUAUGGUAUUAGGGAGUGUUCUAAUUUCAUUCUUUUCAACAUGGCUGUCCAGUUUUCCCAGCACCACUUAUUGAACAAGCUGUCCUUUCUCCAUUGUAUAUUCUUGCCUCCUUUGUAAUAGAUUAGUUGGCUGUAGGUAUGUGAGUUGAAUUCUAGGCUUUCUCUCCUGUUCCACUGAUCGAUAUUUCUGUCUUUGUGCCAGUACCAUAUGGUUUUGAUGACUGUUGCUUUGUAAUAUAGUCUGAAGUCAGGGAGCCUGAUGCCUCCAGCUCCAUUUUCUUUUUCAGGUUGUCUUUGGCUAUUCUGGGUCUUUUGUGCUUCCAAACAAACUUUAAAAUAUUUUGAGUUCUGUGAAAAAUGUCCUUGGUAAUUUGAUAGGAAUUGCAUUGAAUCUAUAGAUUGCCUUGGGUAGUACAGUCAUUUUGAUAAUAUUAACUCUUCCAAUCCGAGAGUAUGGUAUGUCUUUCCAUCUAUUUGUGUCACCUUUGAUUUCUUUCAUCAGUGUCUUAUAGUUUACAGAGUACAGGUCUUUUGACUCUUUGGGUAGGUUUACUCCUAGGUAUUUUAUUCUUUUGGAUGCAAUGGUCAACGGGAUUGCUUCCCUAAUUUCUCUUUCUGAUCUUUCAUUGUUAGUGUGUAGAAAUGCCAUCAAUGUCUGUGUGUUAAUUUUGUUUGUGCUAUGCCCACUUUCUGAAGGGGUUUUAUCAGAAAUGGGUGUUGGAUUUUGUCAAAGGCUUUUUCUGUGUCUCUUGAGAGGAUCAUAUGGUUUUUAUUCUUUGGUUUGUUAAUGUGGUAUAUCACACUGAUUGAUUUGUGGAUAUUGAAGAACCCUUGUAUCCCUGGGAUAAAUCCCACUUGAUCAUAAUGUGCAAUCCUUUUACUGUAUUGUAUGUGGUU